rnacentral:tRNA from 1 species
UGGGGGUUAGCAUAAAAGUUAAUGUGUCUUAUUUACACUAAGGAGAUAAAAGUUUUUUACCUUCAU